CCUACGAGAGGCAGCAGUGGGGAAUAUUGCACAAUGGGGGAAACCCUGAUGCAGCGACGCCGCGUGAGUGAAGAAGUAAUUCGUUACGUAAAGCUCUAUCAGCAGGGAAGAAACACUGACCUUACGGUCAGCAGACGGUACCUGAGUAAGAAGCCCCGGCUAACUACGUGCCAGCAGCCGCGGUAAUACGUAGGGGGCAAGCGUUAUCCGGAUUUACUGGGUGUAAAGGGAGCGUAGACGAGGAGCCAAGUCUGGAGUGAAAUGCAGAAGCUCAACUGCGGAACUGCUUUGGAAACUGGCGAACUAGAGUGCGGGAGGGGUAAGCGGAAGUCCUAGUGCAGCGGGGAAAUGCGUAGAUAUUAGGAGGAACACCGGUGGCGAAGGCGGCUUACUGGACCGUAACUGACGUUGAGGCUCGAAAGCGGGGGGAGCAAACAGGAUUAGAUACCCGUGUAGUC
rnacentral:rRNA from 1 species